CCUACGGGAGGCAGCAGUGGGGAAUUUUGGACAAUGGGCGCAAGCCUGAUCCAGCAAUGCCGCGUGAGUGAAGAAGGCCUUCGGGUUGUAAAGCUCUUUUGCCAGGGAAGAAACGGUUGGGGCUAAUAUCCUCAGCUAAUGACGGUACCUGGAGAAUAAGCACCGGCUAACUACGUGCCAGCAGCCGCGGUAAUACGUAGGGUGCAAGCGUUAAUCGGAAUUACUGGGCGUAAAGCGUGCGCAGGCGGUUUUGUAAGUCUGUCGUGAAAGCCCCGGGCUUAACCUGGGAAUUGCGAUGGAGACUGCAAGGCUUGAAUCUGGCAGAGGGGGGUAGAAUUCCACGUGUAGCAGUGAAAUGCGUAGAGAUGUGGAGGAACACCGAUGGCGAAGGCAGCCCCCUGGGUCAAGAUUGACGCUCAUGCACGAAAGCGUGGGGAGCAAACAGGAUUAGAUACCCUGGUAGUCCACGCCCUAAACGAUGUCUACUAGUUGUCGGGUCUUAAUUGACUUGGUAACGCAGCUAACGCGUGAAGUAGACCGCCUGGGGAGUACGGUCGCAAGNUUAAAACUCAAAGGAAUUGACGG
rnacentral:rRNA from 1 species